GAUUUCAAAUGGAAAUAUGGUCAACAACAAAGUUGAUCCUCUCAUCAAGAUCUACAACUUUUAUUUUGGUCACUUCUUCAUCCGAUAAAGUGAUAAUACCAAUGUUUACAAAAUUAACAUAUAUGUUUUGAUGUUUAUAAACUAGAUGAGAGAAAUGUGAUUUUUGUGAAUAAAUAACUAUCACUUUGUCGGAUGAAGAAGUGACCAAAAUAAAAGUUGUAGAUCCUGAUGAGAGGAUCAACUUUGUUUUUGACCAUAUUUCCAUUUGAAAUC
rnacentral:pre_miRNA from 1 species